rfam:Pteropus alecto contig41369, whole genome shotgun sequence.
GGCUCCAUAGUGUAGUGGUUAGCAUGUCUGCUUUACAUGCAGAAGGUCCUGGGUUUGUGCCCCAGGCGGAGCCA